UUCUCUCUCUCUCUCCCUCCCUCUUCUCACGACAACAAUCUCCCUCUUCUCUCUUUCUUCUCCAGAUAACGACCUCUUCUCCAUUGAAAAUUGGUCAUCUUCUCCAUUCAAAAGUCAAUUAAGGGGAAUAGUAAGAAACAGUUCCUGAGUGCAGGCUUGCCAUCGCUGUUGAGGUCAAAGAACAAGUCUCAUAGGGCAAAAUCAUUUGGGUUCUACGGACAAAGAGAAAAAGAGACGAGACGGAAAAAAAAAAGAAAAAAAAAAAAAAGGGAGAAGAGAACAGGGGAAGAAGGGAAACAAGAAGAGAUUCAGAGGAAGAAAGAAAAGGGGAGAGAGGAAGAACAAAAGAAAAAAAAGAAGUGGCUCUCCCUGUCUGUAGUUGAGCAACUAACUGAGACUGCACUUGCUAUCACCAACCAGGGACCAACAAGGUCACAUUCCUACUACAUUUUAGCACGAUCUUACCAUAGCAAGGGACUGGCUAUGGUAAUGCCACUUCUAAAGUUGCUGUUUUAGGAGGAAUCAAGUCUGCCACAUUAUGGUGGAACUGACAAGAAAAUAUUGUAAGGGACGAUUUGUCUUUAGAUUUGGAAGUUGAGUUUUUACAGCGAUUUGGCUGGAUGGUGAUGGAUUUAUUGCGGAAGGAUCUAACAUGAAUGUGGCUUUUGUUAGAAAAGACAAGGAACUUCUGAUGCCUUAGUUUGACAAAAUACCAAGUGGCUGCACGGCUAAGAGAGUUUUGGCGCUUGCAGAAGGCCUGGUGAAGGAGGGUAAGCUUCAAGGAAUGCUCUGUAAAGAUCCUUCUAAAAGGCUCGCUGCUCACCAGGUUUUAGGUAGUUUAAGUAAUGAUUGCAGUAAUAGAGUUUGCUCAAAUGAGAUCAUUCUAGCUAGCAUCUGUAAUAUGAUACGAGUUAAAGUUGAAAGUUUGGUGUAGUAUGAUCAGUACUUUGA